rnacentral:lncRNA from 1 species
GGUGGUUCAUGGCCUCAUACUAUAAUUGUAUGGUUGGUAAUUUUUAUUAUUCAAUUCCUCUAAUCAUAUCUUCUAAUAAACGACUUGUAUAUAUAUACAAGGCUAAGGUUUUUUUUCAAGUCAAAUAACACAGAAGAAAACAAAUAAGUCAAAUAACAUAAAAAGGACCAUUUAGUGGGAAUAUUAACAUAGCAUAUACUGUAUUUGACAUUUUAUAGUCUACUUUUAUUCUGAAAACAAGACAAAAACAAAAACAAAACAAAAAAAAAGACUCAGGAAAACACAAUUCUGCUCAUUUGAAAUAGUUCAUUCUCUCUCUUAUCACACCUCUAUUUUUGAGAGAGAGAAAGAGAUUUCCGGUACACCGGAAUUUUGUCAUAUAAUAUAAUUUCCGGCUAAGAUUCGGAUCUUUGUACCGGCUAAGUCCGGUUUUAUUUCUCGUUUUAGCGAGAUAAGAUCUCUCAUCCAGUUAUGUUAUUUUCCCGUUGAUUUCUCCGAUAAUCACUUCCAAAUUUUCUUUGUUUCUUCAGCUAUUCGAGGAGUAAUAUCUUCGUCACUUUUAUUUUGCUCAUUUCAUAAGAGCAAAGCAAAGUAUUACAUCAAAAUCUGGAUGUAAUCGGUGGUGGAGCUUCCCCGGAGUUGAUGAUACUCGAAGAAAAUUUGAAGAAGUUUAAUAUACUUGAUCCGGUAGACUUCGACGUAUCCUUUGAUUGGAUUUGAGAUCGGCAGAAGAUAAGAGGAUUCUCAUCAUCCUCGGGUUAUUUGGUGGUGGCUAAUCGAAUGCCGGUGAUGCUUGAGAAGAACAGACGGUGGAGACGUGGAACUGCUUCAAUUUGAUGCGUGGCUUAGAGGAGGUGCUUCAUCUCCACGUGUCUUAUGCUAAACCAUCAAAGUUUUAUUAUCUUUUGUAUUUUGUAAUAUGGUUUAGUUUGGGCCUUUUAAAUCUCGUGUGUAAUCCUCUAGUUUAACUCUUCCGUAUUUGCAUGCCCACUGGGCUUAAGUAAUAAAACUUUUGGACGAAAAAAAAAAAAAAAAAAAAAAACACAAUUCUUGUCUUCUUUUUAUCGUUCCCCCAAAAGGAACGCAUUAAACUAGUCAACUCCUGCAAAUGCAAUUGCGGUAUUGUUAAGGAAACAGAUUCCAUUUCUCUUAGCUAAUCUAAUAAU